ACUGCGCGUCGUGCAAUCGUCCCGUUCCGCUUCGGCGGGGCGGGAAGGAAAGUCCGAACUCCACAGGACAGAGCACCCUGCGAAAGCGGGGGUGCUGCCGGCGAAAGCCGGCGGUAACGGAUAGUGUCACAGAAAAGAUACCGUCCCGCUCUAUUGUAGAAAUAUGAUUGAGCGGAAUAAGGGUGAAAUGGCGUUUCGAUGAGCGUUCCAAUACUCCUCGGAAUUUCGUUGCGUUCUUCGGAGCGUAGCGGAAAGGUAAGAGCUCACCGCCCCGGCAGUAAUGCCGUGGUUCGACAAACCCUGCUCGGAGCAAGACCAUGUAUGUCCUGUACGCCCGGCGAUCCAGGAAAGAAAACAGGACGGGUAGGUCGCUAGCUUCCGUUCGCAAGAACGGAACAAGAUAAAUGAUUGCAGUCCGUCCCCUUGACCGGGUACGGAUACAGAAUUCGGCUUACAGACGCGCGGUUUUU
rnacentral:RNase_P_RNA from 2 species